GCAAACUGUCAUAUGUUAGUGAAUGAGUUUGGAGGAAGCAGCCGCGGCGGCGGAGGGCAAGCAGCGCGGAGGGGAGAGGCGCACACUUUUUUCAGCUGCUGAGCAAAGUGUCUUCUGGGCAUGAGGGGGGCAUGGAGGAGGAAUCUGAGCAGGAAAGAGACACAAUGCCUCCGCCGCUGCAGUACUGCAACUGAGUGAGUGAGUGUGGGGGUACGGCGGAGGCAAGGCCGGGGCUUUGGAAUAGAGACUGAUCCGAGCAGGCUGUGAGAGUCGGGCUGUGUGACGUUACAAGCCGGGCCGGUGAGGCCGGGCAGGCUGCCGGGGGGACAGAGCGUGACUCCGGGAACACAGAGACAAAUAUCAGCCCCGGACUGGAGCUUUGAUCAACUGAGCGUACCGGGGGGGUGGGGGGUGUCGGUCCGCUGCUCUUCUCCUGCAGUCUCUCUGCACGGUGGUUUAAUCUCUCUCUCUCUCUCUCUCUCUCUCUCUCUCUCUCUCUCUCUCUCUCUCUCUCUCUCUCUCUCUGUCUCUCUUUUUACAAAGGAAUAUUGCAAACAUGCGCUGAUAUUCAUAAUUCAUAAUGCGUUAAUUGUGCCUUAUGAAUGCGUUUAUUUUUAGGAAUAAACAGCCCCAUUUCUGUUAAAACUGGCCCAGUUAAUAUCAUUUGUAUAAUGUUUUUUUUUCUCCAUCUCUAUUCCUAUUAAAAACCACAAAGUUGGAAUAGGGGAAAUUAUUCGAAGGUGCAGCUUUGGCAAAAUGGGCAUCUUUUUUAAAAGGAAGAAAGAAAGAAAAUUGAAAAGCUCAUGAGAAAUAAGACAGGAAUGACUUCAUUUUAUUUCGUUGCAUUGUUUGUAAGUCACUUUAGACAAAAGUGUGCACAUGGAUGUAAUGUGACAUAAUUUACACGCAAUUACAAACAAAGAGGAUUCUUUGAAACGAAAACACGUAUAAAAAUACACCUUUCCUCAGAAAGAAAAUAAAAAAACGCAUUUUUGCCAGUAACGAAAAA